GGGAUUACAGGCGUGAGCCAUGGUGCCCGGCCAAUGAUGACUUCUUAGAGACAAUACCAAAAAAGCAUGAUCCAUGAAAGAAAAAAAUGAUAAGUUGGACUUCAAUAACAUUUUAAAAAUCUGCUCUGUCAAAGACACUGUUAAGAGAAUGAAAGGACAAGCAAUAGACUGAGAGAAAAUAUUUCAAAAAUACAUAUAUGAUAAAAGAUUUGUACCUAAAUAUACAAAGAACUCUUAAAACUCAAAAAGAAAAUAAUCCAAUUUAAAAAGGGGCAAAAGAUCUGACCAGACACCUUACCAAAGAUAUGCAGAUGGCAAAUAAGCACAUAAAAAGAUUCUCAAUAUCAUAUGACAUUAGGGAAUUGCAAAACGAGGCCAGGUGCAGUGGCUCACAUCUGUAAUCCCAGCACUUUGGGAGGCCGAGGCGGGCAGAUCAGGAGGUCAUGAGAUUGAGAUCAUCCUGGCUAACAUGGCGAAACCACGUCUCUACUAAAAAUACAAAAAAUUAGCCAGGCAUGGUAGCACAUGA
rnacentral:lncRNA from 10 species